GCCCAGACUCCUACGGGAGGCAGCAGUGGGGAAUAUUGCACAAUGGGGGAAACCCUGAUGCAGCGACGCCGCGUGAAGGAUGAAGUAUUUCGGUAUGUAAACUUCUAUCAGCAGGGAAGAAAAUGACGGUACCUGACUAAGAAGCCCCGGCUAACUACGUGCCAGCAGCCGCGGUAAUACGUAGGGGGCAAGCGUUAUCCGGAUUUACUGGGUGUAAAGGGAGCGUAGACGGCAUGGCAAGUCUGAUGUGAAAACCCGGGGCCCAACCCCGGGAGUGCAUUGGAAACUGCCAGGCUGGAGUGUCGGAGGGGUAAGCGGAAUUCCUAGUGUAGCGGUGAAAUGCGUAGAUAUUAGGAGGAACACCAGUGGCGAAGGCGGCUUACUGGACGACUACUGACGCUGAGGCUCGAAAGCGUGGGGAGCAAACAGGAUUAGAUACCCCAGUAC
rnacentral:rRNA from 1 species